rnacentral:rRNA from 1 species
CGUAGGUGGCAAGCGUUGUCCGGAUUUAUUGGGUUUAAAGGGUGCGUAGGCGGCCCUGUAAGUCAGUGGUGAAAUACUCCAGCUUAACUGGAGGGGUGCCAUUGAUACUGCAGGGCUUGAGUACAGACGAGGUAGGCGGAAUUGACGGUGUAGCGGUGAAAUGCAUAGAUAUCGUCAAGAACUCCGAUAGUGAAGACAGCUUACUAGGCUGUAACUGACGCUGAGGCACGAAAGUGUGGGGAUCAAACAGGAUUAGAUACCCUGGUAGUCCACACUGUAAACGUUGAUGACUCGAUGUUGGCGAUACACAGCCAGCGUCCAAGAGCAAUCGUUAAGUCAUCCACCUGGGGAGUACGCCGGCAACGGUG